GAAAGAAUGGACUAGAGCAUUGUGAUCUACAGAAACAAUUGUCUUCUUUUACUCUGGCUGGUGCCAAAGUGGCUCAAAAAAAGCUCUUGCACCUGAAAAAUAUUACUGCUUUGAACUCUGACAGUGGAGAGUUUGGGAAAAUUGUACUCAUAUCUUCAUAUCUAUUUUGGAAUCACAUGCCAUGGGAAUGCAGAAUACAGCUCCACGAAACUUCUGCCACACCAACUGAACAUAUUGGCAGAACACAGAAGAAGAGAAGGAAGAAGUUAAUGAUUUUCUUACAAUGGCUUAAGUGUUCUCAGAAUGAAGAAAGUACAGAGACAAAGGAUGACUACGAGAAUGAAGAGGAGCAGGAGGAAGAUGAGCAGGAGGAGGGAGAACAAGAAAGGAAGAACUAA
rnacentral:lncRNA from 1 species